GUCGAGCGAACGGACGAGAAGCUUGCUUCUCUGAUGUUAGCGGCGGACGGGUGAGUAACACGUGGAUAACCUACCUAUAAGACUGGGAUAACUUCGGGAAACCGGAGCUAAUACCGGAUAAUAUUUUGAACCGCAUGGUUCAAAAGUGAAAGACGGUCUUGCUGUCACUUAUAGAUGGAUCCGCGCUGCAUUAGCUAGUUGGUAAGGUAACGGCUUACCAAGGCAACGAUGCAUAGCCGACCUGAGAGGGUGAUCGGCCACACUGGAACUGAGACACGGUCCAGACUCCUACGGGAGGCAGCAGUAGGGAAUCUUCCGCAAUGGGCGAAAGCCUGACGGAGCAACGCCGCGUGAGUGAUGAAGGUCUUCGGAUCGUAAAACUCUGUUAUUAGGGAAGAACAUAUGUGUAAGUAACUGUGCACAUCUUGACGGUACCUAAUCAGAAAGCCACGGCUAACUACGUGCCAGCAGCCGCGGUAAUACGUAGGUGGCAAGCGUUAUCCGGAAUUAUUGGGCGUAAAGCGCGCGUAGGCGGUUUUUUAAGUCUGAUGUGAAAGCCCACGGCUCAACCGUGGAGGGUCAUUGGAAACUGGAAAACUUGAGUGCAGAAGAGGAAAGUGGAAUUCCAUGUGUAGCGGUGAAAUGCGCAGAGAUAUGGAGGAACACCAGUGGCGAAGGCGACUUUCUGGUCUGUAACUGACGCUGAUGUGCGAAAGCGUGGGGAUCAAACAGGAUUAGAUACCCUGGUAGUCCACGCCGUAAACGAUGAGUGCUAAGUGUUAGGGGGUUUCCGCCCCUUAGUGCUGCAGCUAACGCAUUAAGCACUCCGCCUGGGGAGUACGACCGCAAGGUUGAAACUCAAAGGAAUUGACGGGG
rnacentral:rRNA from 1 species